GCCUUCGUGGUGUAGUAGUCAACACGCUGGACGCGUAACCGAGAGGUCCGUGGUUCGAUUCCCGACGAAGGCU
rfam:Stegodyphus mimosarum contig73222, whole genome shotgun sequence.